CAUAGCGACUAUCGUGGCAUAUCAAUAAGCGGAGGAAAAGAAACUAACAAGGAUUCCCCUAGUAACGGCGAGUGAAGCGGGAAGAGCUCAAAUUUGAAAUCUUAAAGGUUUCUACCUUGACGAAUUGUAGUUUAUAGAAGUGUUUUCUGUUAGUGGAGUUCGGUAAAAGUUCUUUGGAAUAGGACAUCAUAGAGGGUGAGAAUCCCGUAUUUGACCGUUACUUUCCAGCUGUGUGAUACACUUUCAAAGAGUCGGAUUGUUUGGGAAUGCAGUCCAAAAUGGGUGGUAAAUUUCAUCUAAAGCUAAAUAUUGGCGAGAGACCGAUAGCGAACAAGUACCGUGAGGGAAAGAUGAAAAGAACUUUGAAAAGAGAGUUAAACAGUACGUGAAAUUGUCAAAAGGGAAGCGUUUGACACCAGUGUUGUUUAGUUGAAAAUCAAUUCGAAUAAUUUUUGAUUUUAAGUAGUAUUGACUUCAUCAGCUUGCUGCUUUCUUUUCAGGAAUUAUUGAAUGCACUUUUCAGUUAACAAGUCAACAUCAAUUUCUUUUGUUGUAAAAGGGUAAGAGGAAGGUGGCUUACGCUUCGGCGUAAGUGUUUAUAGCCUUUUACCUCUGCAAUCGGAGAGAUUGAGGACAGCAGCGUAGACUCUUCGGGGUUAGAUACACUUGUGCUAAGCUAUAGCCUUGUAUAGACAACUUGUUGACUAUGCUCAGUCAUGUAGCUUACUCGCUUGUGCUAUUUUACCUACGCUUAGGAUGUUGACGCGCGUGUGUGCGUG
rnacentral:rRNA from 1 species